rnacentral:rRNA from 1 species
GAUGAACGCUAGCGGCAGGCCUAAUACAUGCAAGUCGAGGGGCAGCGGGUGUAGCAAUACAUGCCGGCGACCGGCGCACGGGUGCGUAACACGUAUGUAAUCUACCUUUUACUGGAGAAUAGCCCGAAGAAAUUCGGAUUAAUACUCCAUAACAUUAUUGAGGGGCAUCUCUUGAUAAUUAAAGUUCCGACGGUAAAAGAUGAGCAUGCGCGAUAUUAGCUAGUUGGUGAGGUAACGGCUCACCAAGGCGACGAUAUCUAGGGGUACUGAGAGGUUACACCCCCACACUGGUACUGAGACACGGACCAGACUCCUACGGGAGGCAGCAGUAAGGAAUAUUGGACAAUGGUCGCAAGACUGAUCCAGCCAUGCCGCGUGCAGGAUGAAUGCCCUAUGGGUUGUAAACUGCUUUUGUACGGGAAUAAACCCCUCUACGUGUAGAGGGCUGAAUGUACCGUAAGAAUAAGGGUCGGCUAACUUCGUGC